UUGAUAUACAGAUACUCACUACAAACAUACAUAUGAGAGAGAGAGAGAGAGAGAGAGAGAGAGAGAGAGACAGGGGGAGAGAGAGAGAGAGAGUUUACGAGUUGGAGAUCAUAAUGAGCGGAUUUGGAGACGAGAGAUCCAUCAGGAGCCAAGCAAUGGCGUUCCAAUUGAUCGAUAAGUUGAGUUACAUCGGCCGGUAGGUUUUGCCCCUUCACCAUUUUCGUUCACCCUGCUGAUUUUGAAUUCUAAUUUGCGUCGCUGGCCCGCUACCUGCAGCUUUUAGAUCCAGCCACCCAGCCCACUCCCUCCUCCGCGCGUGUGUAUAUACUCCCUCCGUCCCUCCCAUUUCAUAGGAUUGGGCACGGAGGUUAAUAAAUAUGAAUAAAACAGGGGUAAAGAGAAAAAAAAAGUGGGUGAAGUGGUGUGACUCAUUGAUUUUUAAUGUAUAAAAAAAAGAUAGUGGAGUAAAAGUAGUGUGAAAAGGAAAGAAAAGUGGAGAAUUGGUGGGACUCAUCGACUAUUUUCAAUAAGUUUUGAAAUGUAAAGAAUUGGACAGGACACCCAAAAAAGAAAGUGUAAAGUAAUGUUAGGGACGGAGGGAGUAUAUUUUUUAAUUUUAAAGCGGCGCUAUGUAUGCCAGGGCCGAGUCCGCAUCCUCUGUCCCCUUUUCGUGUCUCCUUUUAUACUCCUUCUUUUUUAUUGGUCAGUUCUAUAUUUCCAUUCUUUCGAUUGGUCGAUUUUUUUAUCUGCACGUGAUCUAUAGUUUCUUUUUAUUCUUUCUCAGAUAGUUUUUCACGGUCACACUUUUUCAAAUUUUUGUAUAAGGUUCCUCUUUAUUAUUGAAAUAUUAUUUUAUAUGGUACAUAAUCAACUAAAUUUUUGUAUGCGAUAUAAAUAUAAUACUAGCGUAAAAGCCCGUGCGAGGCGCGGGCCCGUCAUUUAUAAAUUAUUUUUCAUAUAAUAUAUUUUGAUUAAUAGUUCAAAUUUUGAAUUUUUUUAUAAAAUAUUAAUUUUAUUGAAUUUUUAGACAUAUAUUUUACAAUAAACUAAUAAUAUCCAUGAUAACUGAUUCAACAUAACUGACAAAUUUCCAUAUAGCUCGAAUUGACACUGUAAAAUUGCAUAUGAAAGAGGUUUAUAUUGCAAUUUUUCAGCGUGUUUUCAAUCAAACAUAAUAAAAUGUGUUUAUGAACGAUAAAAAUUACAAGCGCGUUUGAGUGAAUCAUAUAGGCAAACCCAUGAAAUAGUAGGAUAAUUAUAAUUUAUUUAAUAUGUUCAUGUGCAACGAUUAUUAAAAAGAGAUAAGUUCGAACACUGAUGGACAUACUAUAUAAAACAUGCUUAUAAGAGGAUUAUAUAUUUAAAAAAAACAGGUUAAAAAAAAAGAGANAGAGAGAGAGAGUUUACGAGUUGGAGAUCAUAAUGAGCGGAUUUGGAGACGAGAGAUCCAUCAGGAGCCAAGCAAUGGCGUUCCAAUUGAUCGAUAAGUUGAGUUACAUCGGCCGGUAGGUUUUGCCCCUUCACCAUUUUCGUUCACCCUGCUGAUUUUGAAUUCUAAUUUGCGUCGCUGGCCCGCUACCUGCAGCUUUUAGAUCCAGCCACCCAGCC
rnacentral:lncRNA from 1 species